rnacentral:rRNA from 1 species
UACGGGGGGGAGCAAGCGUUGUUCGGAUUUACUGGGCGUAAAGCGCGCGUAGGCGGCUUUGUAAGUUAGAGGUGAAAGCCCGGGGCUCAACCCCGGAAUUGCCUUUAAGACUGCAUCGCUUGAAUCCGGGAGAGGUGAGUGGAAUUCCGAGUGUAGAGGUGAAAUUCGUAGAUAUUCGGAAGAACACCAGUGGCGAAGGCGGCUCACUGGACCGGUAUUGACGCUGAGGUGCGAAAGCGUGGGGAGCAAACAGG